GUCUUUUUGGAGACAUCCGAUAAAUGGAAUGAUAGAGACAUCAGCAUGGCCCCUGCACAAGGAUGACAAGCACAAAUCUAGAAAUGAUACAAAUUUUU